rnacentral:rRNA from 1 species
AUAAAAUAAUCAUUUUCAUACUUUCCCUUACGGUACUUACUAUAACUAUUAAUAGAAUUAGGUUACUAAUAAAUUAAUAACAAUUAAUUUUAAAACCUAAAGGUAAACCUUUAUAUUAAUAAUGUUAUUUUUUAUUAUAUUUAUAAUAAGAAUAAUUAUUAAUAAUAAUAAACUAAGUGAACUGAAACAUCUAAGUAACUUAAGGAUAAGAAAUCAACAGAGAUAUUAUGAGUAUUGGUGAGAGAAAAUAAUAAAGGUCUAAUAAGUAUUAUGUGAAAAAAAUGUAAGAAAAUAGGAUAACAAAUUCUAAGACUAAAUACUAUUAAUAAGUAUAGUAAGUACCGUAAGGGAAAGUAUGAAAAUGAUUAUUUUAUAAGCAAUCAUGAAUAUAUUAUAUUAUAUUAAUGAUGUACCUUUUGUAUAAUGGGUCAGCAAGUAAUUAAUAUUAGUAAAACAAUAAGUUAUAAAUAAAUAGAAUAAUAUAUAUAUAUAUAAAAAUAUAUUAAAAUAUUUAAUUAAUAUUAAUUGACCCGAAAGCAAACGAUCUAACUAUGAUAAGAUGGAUAAACGAUCGAACAGGUUGAUGUUGCAAUAUCAUCUGAUUAAUUGUGGUUAGUAGUGAAAGACAAAUCUGGUUUGCAGAUAGCUGGUUUUCUAUGAAAUAUAUGUAAGUAUAGCCUUUAUAAAUAAUAAUUAUUAUAUAAUAUUAUAUUAAUAUUAUAUAAAGAAUGGUACAGCAAUUAAUAUAUAUUAGGGAACUAUUAAAGUUUUAUUAAUAAUAUUAAAUCUCGAAAUAUUUAAUUAUAUAUAAUAAAGAGUCAGAUUAUGUGCGAUAAGGUAAAUAAUCUAAAGGGAAACAGCCCAGAUUAAGAUAUAAAGUUCCUAAUAAAUAAUAAGUGAAAUAAAUAUUAAAAUAUUAUAAUAUAAUCAGUUAAUGGGUUUGACAAUAACCAUUUUUUAAUGAACAUGUAACAAUGCACUGAUUUAUAAUAAAUAAAAAAAAAUAAUAUUUAAAAUCAAAUAUAUAUAUAUUUGUUAAUAGAUAAUAUACGGAUCUUAAUAAUAAGAAUUAUUUAAUUCCUAAUAUGGAAUAUUAUAUUUUUAUAAUAAAAAUAUAAAUACUGAAUAUCUAAAUAUUAUUAUUACUUUUUUUUUAAUAAUAAUAAUAUGGUAAUAGAACAUUUAAUGAUAAUAUAUAUUAGUUAUUAAUUAAUAUAUGUAUUAAUUAAAUAGAGAAUGCUGACAUGAGUAACGAAAAAAAGGUAUAAACCUUUUCACCUAAAACAUAAGGUUUAACUAUAAAAGUACGGCCCCUAAUUAAAUUAAUAAGAAUAUAAAUAUAUUUAAGAUGGGAUAAUCUAUAUUAAUAAAAAUUUAUCUUAAAAUAUAUAUAUUAUUAAUAAUUAUAUUAAUAAUAUAUAUAAUUAUAUUAUAUAUUUUUUUUAUAUAAUAUAAACUAAUAAAGAUCAGGAAAUAAUUAAUGUAUACCGUAAUGUAGACCGACUCAGGUAUGUAAGUAGAGAAUAUGAAGGUGAAUUAGAUAAUUAAAGGGAAGGAACUCGGCAAAGAUAGCUCAUAAGUUAGUCAAUAAAGAGUAAUAAGAACAAAGUUGUACAACUGUUUACUAAAAACACCGCACUUUGCAGAAACGAUAAGUUUAAGUAUAAGGUGUGAACUCUGCUCCAUGCUUAAUAUAUAAAUAAAAUUAUUUAACGAUAAUUUUAUUAAAUUUAGGUAAAUAGCAGCCUUAUUAUGAGGGUUAUAAUGUAGCGAAAUUCCUUGGCCUAUAAUUGAGGUCCCGCAUGAAUGACGUAAUGAUACAACAACUGUCUCCCCUUUAAGCUAAGUGAAAUUGAAAUCGUAGUGAAGAUGCUAUGUACCUUCAGCAAGACGGAAAGACCCUAUGCAGCUUUACUGUAAUUAGAUAGAUCGAAUUAUUGUUUAUUAUAUUCAGCAUAUUAAGUAAUCCUAUUAUUAGGUAAUCGUUUAGAUAUUAAUGAGAUACUUAUUAUAAUAUAAUGAUAAUUCUAAUCUUAUAAAUAAUUAUUAUUAUUAUUAAUAAUAAUAAUAUGCUUUCAAGCAUAGUGAUAAAACAUAUUUAUAUGAUAAUCACUUUACUUAAUAGAUAUAAUUCUUAAGUAAUAUAUAAUAUAUAUUUUAUAUAUAUUAUAUAUAAUAUAAGAGACAAUCUCUAAUUGGUAGUUUUGAUGGGGCGUCAUUAUCAGCAAAAGUAUCUGAAUAAGUCCAUAAAUAAAUAUAUAAAAUUAUUGAAUAAAAAAAUAAUAUAUAUUAUAUAUAUUAAUUAUAAAUUGAAAUAUGUUUAUAUAAAUUUAUAUUUAUUGAAUAUAUUUUAGUAAUAGAUAAAAAUAUGUACAGUAAAAUUGUAAGGAAAACAAUAAUAACUUUCUCCUCUCUCGGUGGGGGUUCACACCUAUUUUUAAUAGGUGUUCACCCCUCUUCGGGGUUCCGGUUCCCUUUCGGGUCCCGGAACUUAAAUAAAAAUAAUUAUGGAAAGAAUUAAAUUAAUAUAAUGGUAUAACUGUGCGAUAAUUGUAACACAAACGAGUGAAACAAGUACGUAAGUAUGGCAUAAUGAACAAAUAACACUGAUUGUAAAGGUUAUUGAUAACGAAUAAAAGUUACGCUAGGGAUAACAGGGUAAUAUAACGAAAGAGUAGAUAUUGUAAGUUAUGUUUGCCACCUCGAUGUCGACUCAACAUUUCCUCUUGGUUGUAAAAGCUAAGAAGGGUUUGACUGUUCGUCAAUUAAAAUGUUACGUGAGUUGGGUUAAAUACGAUGUGAAUCAGUAUGGUUCCUAUCUGCUGAAGGAAAUAUUAUCAAAUUAAAUCUCAUUAUUAGUACGCAAGGACCAUAAUGAAUCAACCCAUGGUGUAUCUAUUGAUAAUAAUAUAAUAUAUUUAAUAAAAAUAAUACUUUAUUAAUAUAUUAUCUAUAUUAGUUUAUAUUUUAAUUAUAUAUUAUCAUAGUAGAUAAGCUAAGUUGAUAAUAAAUAAAUAUUGAAUACAUAUUA